rfam:Clostridium sp. IEH 97212 scaffold_70, whole genome shotgun sequence.
UUCAUCGUGAGAUGGAAUCUGAAGGAAGCCGAAAGCAAAAUCUUUGUCUGAGGAAUACGAACUAUAUAUAAGGAUUACUAGGAUGAAUGAGUUUGCUAAAUAAAACAAAGUCCAACACUACCCAAAUCCUUAGGAGUAAAUAUAGCAGAUAUAUGAGAGGAAGGUUGUUGUU